GACAGAGGGUGCAAACGUUGCUCGGAAUUACUGGGCGUAAAGGGUGCGUAGGCGGGUCUUUAAGUCAGGGGUGAAAUCCUGGAGCUCAACUCCAGAACUGCCUUUGAUACUGAAGAUCUUGAGUUCGGGAGAGGUGAGUGGAACUGCGAGUGUAGAGGUGAAAUUCGUAGAUAUUCGCAAGAACACCAGUGGCGAAGGCGGCUCACUGGCCCGAUACUGACGCUGAGGCACGAAAGCGUGGGGAGCAAACAGG
rnacentral:rRNA from 1 species